GGACAACUCACCAGGCCCGGACACCGUAAGGAUUGACAGACUGAUAGCUCUCUCUUGAUUCAGUGGGUGGUGGUGCAUGGCCGUUCUUAGUUGGUGGAGUGAUUUGUCUGGUUAAUUCCGAUAACGAACGAGACUCUGUCCUGCUAAAUAGAGUCUGCUUCUCUUUUGAGCAGACAAUUCUUCUUAGAGGGACAGGCGACUCUUGAGCAAUAA
rnacentral:rRNA from 1 species